rnacentral:tRNA from 1 species
GCUCCAGUGGCGCAAUUGGUUAGCGCAUGGUACUUAUACAGCAGUACUUGAGUGAGCUAUGCCAAGGUUGUGAGUUCGAUCCUCACCUGGAGCA